rnacentral:rRNA from 1 species
CCUACGGGAGGCUGCAGUGGGGAAUAUUGGACAAUGGGGGGAACCCUGAUCCAGCCAUGCCGCGUGUGUGAAGAAGGCCCUCGGGUUGUAAAGCACUUUCAGUGAGGAAGAACGCCUGGUGGUUAAUACCCAUCAGGAAAGACAUCACUCACAGAAGAAGCACCGGCUAACUCCGUGCCAGCAGCCGCGGUAAUACGGAGGGUGCGAGCGUUAAUCGGAAUUACUGGGCGUAAAGCGCGCGUAGGUGGCUUGAUAAGCCGGUUGUGAAAGCCCCGGGCUCAACCUGGGAACGGCAUCCGGAACUGUCAAGCUAGAGUGCAGGAGAGGAAGGUAGAAUUCCCGGUGUAGUGGUGAAAUGCGUAGAGAUCGGGAGGAAUACCAGUGGCGAAGGCGGCCUUCUGGACUGACACUGACACUGAGGUGCGAAAGCGUGGGUAGCAAACAGGAUUAGAUACCCCUGUAGUC